rnacentral:lncRNA from 1 species
UUGUUUCUUUAUUUUUGUGUUUUGUUUUAUUUUGUUGAGUCUUAGGUGCCUUCUAACGUGUCUAGGAUGAAUUUAUGAUCUUUGAUUGAUUAGUUAUUGAGAUGAGCAUGAUUUCGAAUAUUUGAGAUUAUAUGUUAUUUGAUGGUUAAUAGAUAUGUUGAAAUUGUACGAACUUGUAGUAGAUGAGGACCAUUGAAAUUUAGGUACAGAAUGAGCAUGUUCCUUACUUGUUUGAUUUCAUGUAACCCUUGUGAGACUUUCGAGCCAUAUAUAUGUGCCUUUUCUUUGGAGAGUUUACUCUAUCUAUUCUUUGAUAUAUAUGACCUCAUAUACAUUACUUGAUCAAUUUAUAUGCCAUAGAGAUUCAAUGAACUAGAGAUUGCUAGAACUUGCUUGUGAAACUUUCAAAACUUUUUAUCAUAACUUACUUUGAUUUCGAAUAGGAUUGUGGAUCUUUCUUAGGACUAUCACCACUUUAUCCAAAUAGCCAUAUAUCCCUAUUUUGAGCCCUGUUUGGGACCCCUUUAGUCUGAACCCUCUAGAGCCUACGUUAUGCCUUUCUUGUUAACCUAAAUUAUCCCUUGCCUAGUAUAGAAUUCCUCUACCUUGUCUCGAGCUUGGCAGAGCUAUCUUUUUGUGGUGAUUUGAGAUGAUGAUUCAAUACAAGUGUGGGGUUGUUCUAAGGAGUUUGUUGCCGAGAUACACAUGAGAAAAGACAAAAAUUUGCUCUCGGAAUUAGAAAAAAAAAAAAAGCAUGAUCCGAGUAAAGAAAAAAAAAAAAAAAAAAA